AAGAGUUCAUAUCGACGGCGGUGUUUGGCACCUCGAUGUCGGCUCAUCACAUCCUGGGGCUGAAGUAGGUCCCAAGGGUAUGGCUGUUCGCCAUUUAAAGUGGUACGCGAGCUGGGUUUAGAACGUCGUGAGACAGUUCGGUCCCUAUCUGCCGUGGGCGCUGGAGAAUUGAGGGGGGGCUGCUCCUAGUACGAGAGGACCGGAGUGGACGCAUCACUGGUGUUCGGGUUGUCAUGCCAAUGGCACUGCCCGGUAGCUAAAUGCGGAAGAGA
rnacentral:rRNA from 1 species